CCUACGGGUGGCAGCAGUGAGGAAUAUUGGUCAAUGGCCGGAAGGCUGAACCAGCCAUGCCGCGUGAAGGUCAGUGCCCUAUGGGCGUUAAACUUCUUUUGUGCGGGAGCAAUAAUGGUCACGUGUGGCCAGACGAGAGUACCGUACGAAUAAGCAUCGGCUAACUCCGUGCCAGCAGCCGCGGUAAUACGGGGGAUGCAAGCGUUAUCCGGAUGUAUUGGGUUUAAAGGGUGCGUAGGCUGUGAGGUAAGUCAGCGGUGAAAUGCCCCCGCUCAACGGGGUGAAGUGCCAUUGAUACUGCCUGGCUGGAAUGCGGAUGCCGUGGGAGGAAUGUGUGGUGUAGCGGUGAAAUGCAGAGAUAUCACACAGAACACCGAUUGCGAAGGCAUCUCACGAAUCCGCGAUUGACGCUGAUGCACGAAAGCGUGGGUAUCAAACAGGAUUAGAUACCCUUGUAGUC
rnacentral:rRNA from 1 species